CUUAAAGGAAUUGACGGGGAGCACCACAACAGGUGGAGCCUGCGGUUUAAUCGGACUCAACGCCGGGAAACUCACCAGAUAAGACAGCUGAAUGAUAGUCGGGCUGAAGACUCUACUUUGACUAGCUGAGAGGUGGUGCAUGGCCGUCGUCAGUUCGUACUGUGAAGCAUCCUGUUAAGUCAGGCAACGAGCGAGACCCACGCCCACAGUUGCCAGCGUACUCUCCGGAGUGACGGGUACACUGUGGGGACCGCCGCUGCUAAAGCGGAGGAAGGAAUGGGCAACGGUAGGUCAGUAUGCCCCGAAUAUCCCGGGCUACACGCGAGCUACAAUGGUUGGUACAAUGGGUAUCUACCCCGAAAGGGGACGGGAAUCUCCUAAAACCAAUCUUAGUUCGGAUUGAGGGCUGCAACUCGCCCUCAUGAAGCUGGAAUCCGUAGUAAUCGCGUUUCAACAGAACGCGGUGAAUACGUCCCUGCUCCUU
rnacentral:rRNA from 1 species